rnacentral:rRNA from 1 species
AUGAACGCUGGCGGCGUGCCUAAUACAUGCAAGUCGAGCGAACAGAUGAGGAGCUUGCUCCUCUGACGUUAGCGGCGGACGGGUGAGUAACACGUGGAUAACCUACCUAUAAGACUGGGAUAACUUCGGGAAACCGGAGCUAAUACCGGAUAAUAUAUUGAACCGCAUGGUUCAAUAGUGAAAGACGGUUUUGCUGUCACUUAUAGAUGGAUCCGCGCCGCAUUAGCUAGUUGGUAAGGUAACGGCUUACCAAGGCAACGAUGCGUAGCCGACCUGAGAGGGUGAUCGGCCACACUGGAAAGGGGACACGGUCCAGACUCCUAGGGGGGGCAGAAGGGGGGAAUCUUCCGCAAGGGGCGAAAGCCUGACGGGGCAACGCCGCGGGAGUGAUGAAGGUCUUCGGAUCGUAAAACUCUGUUAUUAGGGAAAAAAAAAUGUGAAAGUGACUAUGCACGUCUUGACGGUACCAAAUCAGAAAGCCACGGCUAACUACG